rnacentral:rRNA from 1 species
GAUGAACGCUAGCUACAGGCUUAACACAUGCAAGUCGCGGGGCAGCAUGGGGGUUGCUUGCAAUCCCCGAUGGCGACCGGCGCACGGGUGAGUAACGCGUAUCCAACCUGCCCUUCACCACGGGAUAACCCGGCGAAAGUCGGACUAAUACCGUACGUCGUCCAUUGACGGCAUCCGAUUUGGACGAAAGGUUUGGCGGUGAAGGAUGGGGAGGCGUCCGAUUAGCUGGACGGCGGGGUGACGGCCCACCGUGGCGACGAUCGGUAGGGGUUCUGAGAGGGAGGUCCCCCAGACUGGAACUGAGACACGGUCCACACUCCUACGGGAGGCAGCAGUGAGGAAUAUUGGGCGAUGGGCGUAAGCCUGAACCAGCCAAGUAGCGUGCAGGAUGACGGCCCUAUGGGUUGUAAACUGCUUUUAUGCGGGGAUAAAGUGGCCCACGUGUGGGUUUUUGCCGGUACCGCAUGAAUAAGGACCGGCUAACUCCGUG